UCCCAGGUGUUUCACUGGUAAAGAAUCUGCCUGCAAAGCAGGAGAUGCAGGUUUGAUCCCUGGGUUGGGAA
rnacentral:tRNA from 1 species